rnacentral:tRNA from 1 species
UCCCAUGUGGUCUAAUGGUUAAGACUCUGCUUCCAAUGCAGGGGGGCACAUGUUCAAUUCCUGGUCUGGGAA